rnacentral:rRNA from 1 species
UACGUAGGGACCAAGCGUUGUUCGGAUUUACUGGGCGUAAAGGGCGCGUAGGCGGCUUAACAAGUCACCUUGUGAAAUCUCCGGGCUUAACUCGGAACGGCCAAGUGAAACUGUCAAGCUAGAGUGCAGAAGGGGCAAUCGGAAUUCUUGGUGUAGCGGUGAAAUGCGUAGAUAUCAAGAGGAACACCUGAGGUGAAGACGGGUUGCUGGGCUGACACUGACGCUGAGGCGCGAAAGCCAGGGGAGCAAACGGG